CAACCGCCGCGGGAAUACGAGGGGGGCAAGCGUUGUUCGGAAUUAUUGGGCGUAAAGGGUGCGUAGGCGGCUUGACAAGUCUUGUGUGAAAUCUAUGGGCUCAACCCAUAGUCUGCACGGGAAACUGUCGGGCUUGAGAAUGGGAGAGGUGAGUGGAAUUUCCGGUGUAGCGGUGAAAUGCGUAGAUAUCGGAAGGAACACCUGUGGCGAAAGCGGCUCACUGGACCAUUUCUGACGCUGAUGCACGAAAGCUAGGGGAGCAAACAGGAUUAGAUACCCGAGUAGUCCCUGUCUCUUAUAA
rnacentral:rRNA from 1 species